AACGAACGCUGGCGGCAGGCUUAACACACGCAAGUCGAGCGCCCCGCAAGGGGAGCGGCAGACGGGUGAGUAACGCGUGGGAAUCUACCCACCACUACGGAACAACUCCGGGAAACUGGAGCUAAUACCGUAUACGUCCUUCGGGAGAAAGAUUUAUCGGUGAUGGAUGAGCCCGCGUUGGAUUAGCUAGUUGGUGGGGUAAUGGCCCACCAAGGCGACGAUCCAUAGCUGGUCUGAGAGGAUGAUCAGCCACACUGGGACUGAGACACGGCCCAGACUCCUACGGGAGGCAGCAGUGGGGAAUAUUGGACAAUGGGCGCAAGCCUGAUCCAGCCAUGCCGCGUGAGUGAUGAAGGCCCUAGGGUUGUAAAGCUCUUUCACCGGUGAAGAUAAUGACGGUAACCGGAGAAGAAGCCCCGGCUAACUUCGUGCCAGCAGCCGCCGUAA
rnacentral:rRNA from 1 species